AACGAACGCUGGCGGCAGGCUUCACACAUGCAAGUCGCGCGAUUAAAGCCCCUUCGGGGGUGUAUAAAGCGGCGAACGGGUGCGUAACAGGUGGAUAAUCUACCCUUCGGCGGGGGAUAACGGCUGGAAACGGCCGCUAAUACCGCGUACGGUUGCGAGGGUUUCGGCUCUUGCAAAGAAAGGCGCUUCACGGCGUCGCCGGAGGAUGAGUCCGCCUCCCAUUAGCUAGUUGGUGAGAUAACAGCCCACCAAGGCAACGAUGGGUAGCCGAGCUGAGAGGUUGAUCGGCCACACUGGAACUGAGACACGGUCCAGACACCUACGGGUGGCAG
rnacentral:rRNA from 1 species